CUUGCCGGUAAAUACAUACGCUCUCCACUGGUCAACUUAUGGGCGACGAAGCAGUUGGCAACAUUGCUAAAAAAUCUCGACCCCUUGAUCCUUCGUGCCAGAUUCCAAUGAUCGUGUUUUUCUUUACCGCUUCCGCAGAUCGACGGUGAUCCUGUCUGUAAGUGAACAAUACUGGAGAUUAUUCAAACGACAGAUUGAGUGGCUGAUUUGUCAUUGCGCGCCAUUUGGUUUUCGACCUAAUGUGAGUGUGCGUGCAAGUACGCACUAUUCUUCACGUUGCCCCGUAAAUCGAAAGUGCACAGUCUGCAGUUGGUCGCUAGUGCUGUCAUCUUCCGCAUGCAAGGACCCCUUAUGCACCGACCUGUUACGCAAAUCUUUGCAAUUCGAAAUUAGUCGCAAAGAUAUUCGUCGCGAAAUUAUUGCAUCGUUUGCGACAUCCAUGUCUCUUGAGCGAUCUAUGAAAACCCGCCAUUAUGAUACUAUGCAACUGGCCAUUUCAAGUUGAACGCAUAAUUUUUGUUGAGACCGAUCGAAAUGUUAACUCAUUAAAGAUUAAACGAUAAAAUAAGGUAAAAAUUGUAAAAAAUUUGUAAUAUUAUAGGAUAUUAAUUGGACAUUACAAUAUCAAUGGGAAAUGUAAUAUUUUUGGAAAAUAUAAAUGAAGUAAUUUAGGUACAGUGAAGGACAAGAGUAUUCGUACAAUUGGAACGUAAAAAUAAAAAUGGCUGAUAUAAAACAA